rnacentral:rRNA from 1 species
UAAUACGGAGGGUGCAAGCGUUAAUCGGAAUUACUGGGCGUAAAGCGCACGCAGGCGGUCUGUUAAGUCAGAUGUGAAAUCCCCGGGCUCAACCUGGGAACUGCAUUUGAAACUGGCAGGCUUGAGUCUUGUAGAGGGGGGUUAGAAUUCCAGGUGUAGCGGUGAAAUGCGUAGGGAUCUGGAGGAAUACCGGUGGCGAAGGCGGCCCCCUGGACAAAGACUGACGCUCAGGUGCGAAAGCGUGGGGAGCAAACAGGAUUAGAUACCCCUGGUAGUCCACGCUGUAAACGAUGUCGACUUGGAGGUUGUUCCCUUGAGGAGUGGCUUCCGGAGCUAACGCGUUAAGUCGACCGCCUGGGGAGUACGGCCGCAAGGUUAAAACUCAAAUGAAUUGACGGGGGCCCGCACAAGCGGUGGAGCAUGUGGUUUAAUUCGAUGCAACGCGAAGAACCUUACCUACUCUUGACAUCCAGAGAACUUAGCAGAGAUGCUUUGGUGCCUUCGGGAACUCUGAGACAGGUG